rnacentral:snRNA from 2 species
AGACUUGAAGUGAAUAGGAUUGUGACAUCUGUCACAGCAUUGAUGGCCAGGACUGAUUCUUCUGAUCUAGCAGGCUAGGCAGGGGGGUCCCCUUUCUUCCUCUCAGCUCCAUGUGCAUCCUUCCCAAAGCUGUAUACUCGGCAGAAGAGGACAAACUUUCCUAAUAAGGGAGGACCUUUCUUUGGUCAAGGAUAUGUAAGUAGCUGUGCUCCCCUGCUGGAACCUCAAGAUUAGCUCUCAAGGUCCAUUUGUAGGAGACUGGGGGUCAAGGUUCUGAGACUCCUGCUACAUCCAACUGAUGUGCUAAUGUGUAGUCUGCCUUUCUU